UGACCUGUGAGUAUUUUCAGCAUUUCCUAUUUCUCCGCAACUACAUGGUGUUGGCUGGAAUUGAGGGCACUGCACAGGAGGUGCUAUUCACAAGAUUUGAUGUCAAGCCACAAAAGAAGACAAUGGAACAGUGCACGGAAGUCUGAGUAA